GAUGAACGCUAGCUACAGGCUUAACACAUGCAAGUCGAGGGGAAACGACAUCGAAAGCUUGCUUUUGAUGGGCGUCGACCGGCGCACGGGUGAGUAACGCGUAUCCAACCUGCCCUUCACCACGGAAUAAUCCAGUGAAAAUUGGUCUAAUACCGUAUGAGGUCAUACGAUGGCAUCAGAAUAUGACGAAAGGUUUGGCGGUGAAGGAUGGGGAUGCGUCUGAUUAGCUUGUUGGUGAGGUAACGGCUCACCAAGGCGACGAUCAGUAGGGGUUCUGAGAGGAAGGUCCCCCACAUUGGAACUGAGACACGGUCCAAACUCCUACGGGAGGCAGCAGUGAGGAAUAUUGGUCAAUGGACGAGAGUCUGAACCAGCCAAGUAGCGUGCAGGAUGACGGCCCUAUGGGUUGUAAACUGCUUUUAUAAGGGAAUAAAGUUAGUCUCGUGAGACUUUUUGCAUGUACCUUAUGAAUAAGGACCGGCUAAUUCCGUGCCAGCAGCCGGG
rnacentral:rRNA from 1 species